rnacentral:rRNA from 7 species
ACGGGUGAGUAAUGCCUAGGAAUCUGCCUGGUAGUGGGGGAUAACGUUCGGAAACGGACGCUAAUACCGCAUACGUCCUACGGGAGAAAGCAGGGGACCUUCGGGCCUUGCGCUAUCAGAUGAGCCUAGGUCGGAUUAGCUAGUUGGUGGGGUAAUGGCUCACCAAGGCGACGAUCCGUAACUGGUCUGAGAGGAUGAUCAGUCACACUGGAACUGAGACACGGUCCAGACUCCUACGGGAGGCAGCAGUGGGGAAUAUUGGACAAUGGGCGAAAGCCUGAUCCAGCCAUGCCGCGUGUGUGAAGAAGGUCUUCGGAUUGUAAAGCACUUUAAGUUGGGAGGAAGGGCCAUUACCUAAUACGUGAUGGUUUUGACGUUACCGACAGAAUAAGCACCGGCUAACUCUGUGCCAGCAGCCGCGGUAAUACAGAGGGUGCAAGCGUUAAUCGGAAUUACUGGGCGUAAAGCGCGCGUAGGUGGUUUGUUAAGUUGGAUGUGAAAUCCCCGGGCUCAACCUGGGAACUGCAUUCAAAACUGACUGACUAGAGUAUGGUAGAGGGUGGUGGAAUUUCCUGUGUAGCGGUG